GCUCCCCUUCCCCCUUCUCCUUCAUGACAGCCCCCUUCCUAACCAAAAGGCCACAGCCGCUGCUUGUGAGGCUGAGAGAGAAAGUGAGAGACUCACUGGGUGAAAGCUAAAAUGGCGGUUCCAUCUCUCAAUUAGUAAAGUAAUCAAAUUGGAGAAAGAUAUUGAUGGUAUCGCUCUGUUCCUGUUGUCUUCGCUGCACAGUCCAAUUUCUUAAAAGGUUAGCUAGCUGCACUUCCCUGCGUUUCUUCUUCUUCUUCUUCUGUUUGGUAUUUAUGAUCCCUGCACAUUGUUGUUUAAUGGGUUCGUCGAAUUUGCUAUUUUAUGAAUCGUGUUUUUAUAUUUUUGGUUUUUGGAUUGGGAUAAAAGGUAUUUUUGCAACUGAAUAGCAUUGUAUUGGUGAAUAUCUGUCGAAAGCAUGUUAAUUUCUGUUAGAUUAUGACAAUUUUUAACGUUAAAUUGUCGAGUGUUCGAAAAAUCCGCCUAGGCGGGGCUAGGCGGCUAGGCGGGAGUUAGGCGGCCUGGGCGGGUCAGUUCCUUUAAUUUUUUUAUUUUUUUUUUCCCUCUCUCUCUCUCUCACGACAGACCACCACCAGCAGGCCUCCACCCGCGACGACCAUCACCAGGCCGCGAUUAAUACAAAAUAAUUAUAAAUUAAAAAAAACGCCUAGGCGUCCGACUACCGCCUAGCGAUUUUUAACAUUGAUUGUGGAUUUCAAUUCAGUGCUUUGGAAGUCCGUUGUUUCAAUUCAGCGAUUUUUACAUCCAAUUCACAGUGUUUCUACCUUUCUGCAUCACGUACUUUUGCUGCUUUCCUGCUCAUACAAGAGAGCAAAUAGUUUACCGUUGAGUUUUAUGUUUACAUUUGUGUUGACUGCUGGUUUGAAUUGUGUGAAAUAGUUGUACAAACAGUUUGGAAGGUUGGGAGAGAUGGAAUUGAGGCAGGAACCAAUCUUGUGCCGGUAAGUUAUGUUUAGUCCACCCUUUCAAACUUUUAUCGAUUGUGCAAUUUCAAUGCAGGCUGUUUUUCUUGCUUUUAGUACAAAUUGAAGAUUUUUUGUUAUUCUGUUUGCGUUUUGUGUUUGGGUGCUAGGAUUCUGUGCCAAGAUCAAUUGCAAGGGUUUCUGUGACAGUAGUUGCAUUGGCUCUUUCACUCUUUGUACUCAAGUUUUCUUUGUGCGGGUAUGUUUCUAUUUCUCUCCUCCUGCAAGAACAGUAGAUCGAUGAUGUUAUUUUGACUUGCUUUUUCCAAAAUGUAUAUCAAGUAUGCUUGUGCUAUCAUUUGUGUGUUUGUGUUUUAAAAUCAACUUCUUUUUCUGCGUUACUAGUUUCUAUAAGGAAAUGAGAUGCAAUGUAGACAAGUAAAUUUCCUCUUGUCAGUAAAAGAGCGUUAUUCUUGUAUAGAUAGUCCUUAUUUUUGAAGUACAUAAAUAUUAUGUAAUUCUAAUGAACUAAGCAUUGUAUGAUAACAGGCUACAAUGGGACUUGUUUGCUUUUCAUUUAUAGCUUUGAAUAAGGAUGAAGGACCAAGGGGGCUGGAGGCACCACCUCUACACCGAAGGAGGAGGGGAUGUAGGACAGUCUAGAAGAAGCCAGAAGAAUCAUGGAGAAGUAUAAGUAACAUCCUCACUGGUAGGGCUCAACAUGAAAAUAAUAUCAAAUUAACCUAAACUCAAAAAUAAGGUAUUCAUGGCUAAGCUACAUUGUAGCCUUAGCAAAGGGAAAUUAGAACAUGAUAAACUUAUCGAGAAUCACGGAGUGGUUGAUGGUAGACAUGAGGAUGAAUUCGAAAACUUCCAAAAAGCUCCAAAAUGGCUGGCGGCAGCAAGACUUCUCUUCAUAAGAAUUGGGUAUUUUCCGGUUGUAAAAAAUAUGGAUCUCCUCUAGGCAUGCAAAUGUUCUGGAUAUCUAGGCAUGCAAACGUUUUCGUUUAUUUAAUUUCUUUGUGUGUAGUGAUGUGUGAUGUAGUUUCUUGGCUUUAAUUAAUAUAAUGGUGUGGUUUCUUUCC
rnacentral:lncRNA from 1 species